UCUCCACAGGGGUCAUGGUGGCGGCGAUGACUCCCAUUUGGGAGAUGAUUUCCUGUAGGAAGCCAGGCUGUCAGGAAAUAAAAGUUGUGCCCUAAUGAAGUUCCGGCAGCCCUCAGGACACCUCUGGAGCAUCUCCUCCAUAAUUUCAUGGGGACUACGAAAGAUCAAGAGGUGGGGAGGCAAGUGGUGGCGGGUUGUCGCAAUCCACCAGUGUGGGGAUGGCAUCUCUGGUG